CAGUGGCAAGGGGUGAUUGGCUGCAUAUUGCCCCGCCUCUCCUCCCGCAUUGAGGCAGGGCCUGCCUGGCUCCCCAGAGCCCCCCAGGAAAGUUAGUUUGGUGGAGGGCAUAGCUGUCCAGAUCAAGUCCUUGCUGCCGCCAUGCAGAGAGGAGAGGAGCCCAAACCUUCUUGACCCAGGUCCAGUUUGUCUGUGGCUCUCUUACCUCCCGCAGUCCCCACCCCCACACCCCCUCGCCAUCGUGCAAGGUGGUGCGCAAUCCACCACAGGAGCGCAGCAAGGCACCUCACUGAGUACCCUGCUCUCCUUCACUAGGCAGCUUGUCACCCGCCCAAAGGGCACUUUUGCAGGGCUCCUUUUAUUCCCCUUCCCUCCUCCUAUCCGCAAUCGGAGCUCAGUGUUCUCUCGGCCUGGCAGCUUCUUCGUUUAUGCGGGAGGUGAGGUGAGCGCAGAGGCAGUGUGCGCUCCUGCCUGGACUCCUGCCCAGUCUUCUCCGCUGUCGGUCCGGGCUCCACUCGGCACAGCUUGCUCCUGUCCGCCUUCCGCAGGCGCAGGCAGCUCCUGGGGGGACCGCAUGCGUGCGCUCGCCACCACCGAGGCCGCCCUCCCGCCAGCGCCCGCGGUUGCUCGUGGGUGUACCUGGACCUUUUCUGAAGUGAGCAAGGUGGGACCCUAUCCAGAAUGCUUCCAUUACUUUCUCCCAUUUUAUUAUUUUUAUUCAUGUUCUGCUUUUUUUUCUGUUGGGGAGAUUUUCUUUUCCUUCUUUUCCUUCUCUACUUUGGCCUGGAUCGCUUUCUUUGAAUAAGUUCGCUUCAUUUGAAAGUGACAAGCGGCAGGCAGCCCUUGGAGAGCCAUCUCUCUGCUUUGGAUUGAAGGUAGGUGGAAUUGGCUGCUCAAUUAGCAUUCAGGUGGCGUGGUCCUAAUGCCUCGU
rnacentral:lncRNA from 1 species